AGAUUGAACGCUGGCGGCAGGCCUAACACAUGCAAGUCGAGCGGUAGAGAGGUGCUUGCACCUCUUGAGAGCGGCGGACGGGUGAGUAAUGCCUAGGAAUCUGCCUAGUGGUGGGGGAUAACGUUCGGAAACGGACGCUAAUACCGCAUACGUCCUACGGGAGAAAGCGGGGGACCUUCGGGCCUCGCGCCAUUAGAUGAGCCUAGGUCGGGUUAGCUAGUUGGUGAGGUAAUGGCUCACCAAGGCGACGAUCCGUAACUGGUCUGAGAGGAUGAUCAGUCACACUGGAACUGAGACACGGUCCAGACUCCGUACGGGAGGCAGCAGGUGGGGAAUAGUUGGACAAGUGGGACGAAAGCC
rnacentral:rRNA from 1 species